rnacentral:rRNA from 1 species
UACGUAUGGACCAAGCGUUGUUCGGAUUUACUGGGCGUAAAGGGCGCGUAGGCGGCAAUUCAAGUCAUCUGUGAAAUCUCCGGGCUUAACCCGGAACGGUCAGGUGAUACUGUUUUGCUAGAGUGCGGAAGGGGCAAUCGGAAUUCUCGGUGUAGCGGUGAAAUGCGUAGAUAUCGAGAGGAACACCAGAGGUGAAGACGGGUUGCUGGGCCGACACUGACGCUGACAGCGCGAAAGCCAGGGGAGCAAACGGG